AUUCAGGAUACCGAAUGAGAGUCUGACCGAGCCCAGCCUGUCUUUUCCACAAAACACCAGCGUUUCACUAAGCACACUAAGCUGCCGUGCUGUUUCAUCAGACGCCGCUCUGGUGUGUAUCAUAUGAUAUGGCAGCCGCCCAGGCAGGCGGGGAGCAGCGCAGCCUGUAAUUUCCUGGUCAUAUGUAACUGGGUGGGGAAGCGCCUGAUCCUUGGGGCCAGCAGGAUCCAGGAAUUCAUCUACUGGUGCCAGCAAGAAAGCAGUGACCCAAACAAGGGAGCCAGAACUUGGACUGCAGUCCUUGCCAGGGAUCAGCGAGAGGCCAGAGAGACCAUGCUGCUGAGUCAUCACCGCUCCAGCUGCUACAAGCCUUUUCUGGGGACGCGGCUGUUGCUAAGAUUCCUGGGAGCUGACUGAUUGCUCCUUCUAUAGUCAUGUAACACACGCGUACACGUCAAAGGAGCAAGGAGCAGCAGCUGGGGCGAGCUCGGAGCGAGCACACAGCCUGCUGGCCGAGCGCGGUCCGGCGCGGGGGCUGUGCGGGGCUGGGCGCCCCGCGGGAGCUGCGCUGCGCUGCUGCUCGGAGCUCCUUCUGCAGGCACACAGAUACCUCGUUCCCUCUGCCUCCCACUCAUGGAGGCAUUUCAAAAAUCAAACAGUCCAGGCAGUGAUUCUGUACAAAGUUUUCGUUCUGUUUGGGCUUGCACGUUUCACCAUAUUUCUCCCCGCUGCGUUUAGAGGUAGGGACAUGCUUAGAAUCUGUGCAGUGCAUUCCUUGCAGGGUCACUAUUAGAUCAUUCUCUUCAUGCGGUAAAUAAAUACGUUCAAUCAGCAGGCAAGUAAAGUGAGCACUUUCCAGUUCUAGGGCCCAGGAGUGAAGCAGGUAAUAUUUCUUAUUAAGCCCUGUAAGGUUUCAGAGUGUUCUUCUGUUUCACACACUGCACCGGAAGGGAAUGCUUGUUCAUGUGCAUCCUGCAUUUUCCUUCUCCCAAUUUAAUAUUUUUAUUCUCCUGCCUUUUACCUGAGGUGCUUGCCUCCCUCAGAUGCUGCAGUUACCCUUGUUUCCUGCUCCACAUUUGACAUUCAACAAACUACAUGCAGUCAGGCUCUCAA
rnacentral:lncRNA from 12 species